ACUCAAAUGAAUUGACGGGGGCCCGCACAAGCGGCGGAGCAUGUGGCUCAAUUCGAUGCAACGCGAAGAACCUUACCUGGGCUGAACUAUGCGGGAAAAGCCGUAGAAAUACGGUGUCCUUCGGGGCCCGUGAUAGGUGGUGCAUGGCUGUCGUCAGCUCGUGUCGUGAGAUGUUGGGUUAAGUCCCGCAACGAGCGCAACCCUUACCCUAUGUUGCCAGCGGAUUAUGCCGGGGACUCGUAGGGGACUGCCGGUGCCAAACCGGAGGAAGGUGGGGACGAGGUCAAGUCAUCAUGCCCCUUACGUCCAGGGCUGCACACAUGCUACAAUGGUCGGUACAAAGGGCUGCAAUACCGCGAGGUGGAGCUAAUCCCAUAAAGCCGAUCUCAGUUCGGAUCAUAGUCUGCAACUCGACUGUGUGAAGUCGGAGUCGCUAGUAAUCGCAGAUCAGCAAUGCUGCGGUGAAUACGUUCCCGGGCCUUGUACACACCGCCCGU
rnacentral:rRNA from 1 species